UGUAUUUAUUAGAUACAAAACCAAUGCCCUUCGGGGCUUUUUGGUGAUUCAUGAUAACUUUACGGAUCGCAUAGCCUUGCGCUGGCGACGGUUCAUUCAAAUUUCUGCCCUAUCAACUUUCGAUGGUAAGGUAUUGGCUUACCAUGGUUUCAACGGGUAACGGGGAAUUAGGGUUCGAUUCCGGAGAGGGAGCCUGAGAAACGGCUACCACAUCCAAGGAAGGCAGCAGGCGCGCAAAUUACCCAAUCCCGACACGGGGAGGUAGUGACAAUAAAUACUGAUACAGGGCUCUUUUGGGUCUUGUAAUUGGAAUGAGUACAAUUUAAACCUCUUAACGAGGAACAAUUGGAGGGCAAGUCUGGUGCCAGCAGCCGCGGUAAUUCCAGCUCCAAUAGCGUAUAUUAAAGUUGUUGCAGUUAAAAAGCUCGUAGUUGAAACUUGGGCCUGGCUGGCGGGUCCGCCUCACCGCGUGCACUCGUCCGGCCGGGCCUUCCUUCUGAAGAACCUCAUGCCCUUCACUGGGCGUGCUGGGGAACCAGG
rnacentral:rRNA from 1 species